rnacentral:lncRNA from 1 species
GGUGCUGGAGGUGAAUUACGGGCGCAUGUAACCAAUUACACGCAAAAUUACGGGUGAAGACCCAGUGAUUACGGGUGGAUUUUACGCGGUGCUGGAGGUGAAUUACGGGCGCAUGUAACCAAUUACACGCAAAAUUACGGGUGAAGACCCAGUGAUUACGGGUGGAUUUUACACGGUGCUGGAGGUGAAUUACGGGCGCAUGUAACCAAUUACACGCAAAAUUACGGGUGAAGACCCAGUGAUUACGGGUGGAUUUUACGCGGUGCUGGAGGUGAAUUACGGGCGCAUGUAACCAAUUACACGCAAACUCACGGGUGAAGACCCAGUGAUUACGGGUGAAUAUUACGCGGUACUGCAGGUGAAUUACGGGCGCAUGUAACCAAUUACACGCAAAAUUACGGGUGAAGACCCAGUGAUUACGGGUGAAUAUUACACGGUGCUGCAGGUAAAUUACGGGGCAUGUAACCAAUUACACGUACAAUUACGGGUGAAGACCCUGUUAUCACGGGUUACACAGGCAGAUAUUACUCUGCGAUGUGACGCUUACUGCAUGUUAAAUUAACGAUUGGUGAAUACUUGCGGCAAGCCUCAAAAUGGACGCACACCCCUUGUCAAAGUAGCCUAAGUCUCAGUGUGCUUGUGGACCAAGGCGCUUUGGACUCACAACGCCAACCAGCCAGCCUGACAGCCUGAUGCAUUCAUCUCAACCAUCGUCCUCGAAAACAGCGUUCAUGUCACCCCCCAUACAGCAAGUGCUCGCCAAGGAGUCUCACCACCACUUGCAGAGUUCGUGCCUACUCCUACGGAUGAAACCCCCGAUGCAUGACAUGUACCGGCACCUAUUGGGAUUGGUAUGUCCCAUCCUGCCUGGGGCCGACCUGGUGUGUGCACCCCCAAGCGCUCAUCACUGCUGCCAUGUUACUGCUCACUUCCACCACUGUCGCUGCUGCCACUGCCACUGCUGCUGCUGCUAGCUUCGCUAUAUUUGCCCGGGUCCUCCGAGCUGGACUCCUCCCCAGCGCCAGCGGCUAGGACCUCUUCCUCACCAGCAUCCGACCCACCCUCCAAGNN